GUGCACGCUGGCGGUAGGCCUAACACAUGCACGUCGAACGGCAGCACAGUAAGAGCUUGCUCUUACGGGUGGCGAGUGGCGGACGGGUGCGGAAUACAUCGGAAUCUACUUUUUCGUGGGGGAUAACGUAGGGAAACUUACGCUAAUACCGCAUACGACCUACGGGUGAAAGCAGGGGAUCUUCGGACCUUGCGCGAUUGAAUGAGCCGAUGUCGGAUUAGCUAGUUGGCGGGGUAAAGGCCCACCAAGGCGACGAUCCGUAGCUGGUCUGAGAGGAUGAUCAGCCACACUGGAACUGAGACACGGUCCAGACUCCUACGGGAGGCAGCAGUGGGGAAUAUUGGACAAUGGGCGCAAGCCUGAUCCAGCCAUACCGCGUGGGUGAAGAAGGCCUUCGGGUUGUAAAGCCCUUUUGUUGGGAAAGAAAAGCAGCAGGUUAAUACCCCGCUGUUCUGACGGUACCCAAAGAAUAAGCACCGGCUAACUUCGUG
rnacentral:rRNA from 1 species